rnacentral:lncRNA from 1 species
CAACAGGUUCAUAAAAACUUCUCUUUGCCUCACUUCUUUCAUUGCUCCUUUUCCCAGGCUACUUACCAAAUGGAAAGGACAAGCAACUUAAGGAAUUCAAAGCUCCAACAAUCCAAUAAGAAAACUGCAUCUCUGUGCAUGUGCUGAAGCAGCAGGGGUGAACAGGGCAUAGUGGUUAACCUUAACUCUGCGUUCUGGAUCACAGUUAGCAAUUCCUUUGACGUUCUGUUCCAUAAGUGAAGGUGAAGGGAAGAAAUUCAGUGCCUUCCCUCUGUCUGACUCAUCAUGGUGGAGAAGUUCUGACAUCAGAGUCCAGCCCCCCGGAAACAAAGCGCUGCGGCAGAUGCAGUUUGCCUUUAAAAGUGAGUCAGGUGGAAGUCUUGGGGUCUGCUACAUAAAUAGAGACCUUCACUGUGGCCUAUGAUGGAUGCAGAAUUGGAAUAAAGGUGGAAAGGCAGUGGUUCA